rnacentral:rRNA from 1 species
GAUGAACGCUGGCGGCGUGCCUAACACAUGCAAGUCGAACGAAGCAUUUUGAAUGAAGUUUUCGGAUGGAUUUUAAGAUGACUGAGUGGCGGACGGGUGAGUAACACGUGGAUAACCUGCCUCACACGUGGGGACAACAGUUAGAAAUGACUGCUAAUACCGCAUAAGCGCACAGUACCGCAUGGUACAGUGUAGAAAAACUCCGGUGGUGUGAGGUGGAUCCGCGUCUGAUUAGCCAGUUGGCGGGGUAACGGCCCACCAAAGUGACGAUCAGUAGCCGACCUGAGAGGGUGACCGGCACAUUGGGACUGAGACACGGCCCAAACUCCUACGGGAGGCAGCAGUGGGGAAUAUUGCACAAUGGGCGAAAGCCUGAUGCAGCGACGCCGCGUGAGUGAAGAAGUAUUUCGGUAU